UACAGAGGGUGCAAGCGUUGUGCGGAAUUAUUGGGCGUAAAGCGCGUGUAGGCGGCUUUGCAAGUCGGGUGUGAAAGCCCUCAGCUCAACUGAGGAAGUGCGCCCGAAACUGCAGAGCUUGAGUGCCGGAGUGGGUGGCGGAAUUCCCCAAGUAGAGGUGAAAUUCGUAGAUAUGGGGAGGAACACCGGUGGCGAAGGCGGCCACCUGGACGGUAACUGACGCUGAGACGCGAAAGCGUGGGGAGCAAACAGG
rnacentral:rRNA from 1 species